rnacentral:rRNA from 1 species
GAUGAACGCUGGCGGCGUGCCUAACACAUGCAAGUCGAACGAAAGGACGAGAAGCUUGCUUCUUUGAUGUUAGCGGCGGACGGGUGAGUAACACGUGGAUAACCUCCUUAUAAUACUGGGAUAAUCACGGGAAACCGGAUCUAAUACCAGAGAAUAUUUUGCACCGCAUGGUUCAAAAGUGAAAUACGGUCUUGCUGUCUCUUAUAGCUGGAUCCGCGCUGGAUUGUCUGGUUGGUAGGGUAACGGCCUACCAAGGCAACGAUGCGUAGCCGACCUGAGAGGGUGAUCGGCCACACUGGAACGGAGACACGGUCCAGACUCCUACGGGAGGGAGCAGUCGGGAAUCUUAGGCAAUGGGCGAGAGCCUGACGGAGCAAGGCCGCGUGAGUGAUGAAGGCCUUCGGAUCGGAAAGCCCUGUUAUUGGGUAAGAACAGAUGUGGAAUGAGACGUGGAGAUAUUGACGGUACCUGAUAAAGAAGCACCGGCUAACUACGUG